AUUAAUGCUGUUGUGUGCUGAGACACACAGGACUCAGAAGAGAGCGGUUAGGCUUCUCCAGUCCCAGCUGAGAAUAUGGUUCCAUUAUCUCCCAGCUGCAUAUACCAUCCAUAAGGGCCUGUUCUGCCUGGUUGAUCAGGGAAGAGGAAGCAGUGGCUGAGAUCUUUGAUUUGCUGUAACAUGUCAAAGAGAAACUGGGACAUUGUACUUUAGAGUUCUAUUAAAGAUCGGAUAUAACUUAAAAGAAGCAGCAUUCUAAUCACUACAUAUUGGACGUGGGUCUCCUUUGACAUCAGAAACUGAAAAUGAGGUUACCAUGGGAACUGCUCGUACUGCAAUCGUUCAUGUUGUGCCUUGCAGAUGAGCAUCUUGCGAAUAGAAUUCCACAAAUGGGUUCUCCAGUUCCAAUCAAAAAUAGAGAAAGAAGAUGAGACAUACCCAUUCUUAUCCAAAAAGGAACUUGUCAUCAUACUUGUUUUCUCGCUCUUUAAUUUUGAAUUUGAAUAUAAUGUUCUGUUCCCUUGUUUAGCUCUUAAUUAAAAUGCAUUCAGUAGAUUAUGUUCUUUGGUUAAUGUAUUUUAAUGUGCGCCUCAGAUAUUGUGCACUUUCUGAAAUUAAGCAAUAGUUUUUCACAGUGAAAGUAGGCUCAUAAUUGCAUUAACUUUCAAAAAGUUUUGGUGUAAAUUAUGAUAAAACAAAACACAAAUAAUUCAUUUAGAUGUUUUUAUUUUAUGUUACUUUUGUUGAUUAACAAUAAAAUGUAGUUUUGCCAUCAUAAAUAAUUUAGACAUACCAAUAGUUAAACAGUCUAUAUCAUAUUAAUUUGACUCUAAAGCAAGGCAGACAUUAUAGCCAUUUAUAAUUGAGUGCUGCUUAAGUUGCUAAUCAAUGAAAGAGGCAACUAAUUAACAAGCUAGCAGUCACCAGCAGAAUAAAACUUGGAAAUUUCCAACUUAAUUAAGCAUCUAAGGUGUCUAAGGAAAAAAAACUUUCAUGGAGAAAAUAUUAUCAUUUUCAAAGUAUUAAAAUUAUGAAAGACUUUGUUACUUAAAAAGGACAAUAUGUAUUUUGCAUUACUAUUUCAUGCGGUUUUGAAAAUUAAAAUAAUUAAGAUAUAUUGAUGUACAUGAGUAUAAAUGGCUUAAACUAUAGGCUAAGUAUGUCCUAAUUUCUCAUUUUUAAUAUAAUCCUACAUGUGAAUAUAUUUAUCUCAUAAAAACUUUCCUGCUGUAGUUUUAUUGUAAUUAAAUGUCUGAUGGUCACUGUGGAUCUAAUAUUCCAAAAAUAAAUGGAUUGCUCACAUGACUUUCAUACUCAGAAAUGCACAUAAUAAAAGCCAGUCUAGAAUUCUAAAGAUGAUGUCAAUGAAACUAAAGCUCAAAAUGAGCUAAAGUUUGCCAAGAAUGGUAUGAUCAAUAAAAAGAACCUUUGAGUUUAAAAUAAAAAUGAAGAAGUGCAUAUGUGCUCCAAUAAACAUUUGUGGAGAACAGGAUGAAGGGACAGCACUAAAGUUUGAGAUUGAUAGAAUAAUAGUCAAGGAAUUUCUGUUUAUUUUGACUGUUAGAAUUUCCAGGGCCAGAUUAAAUGCAUCCCCUCACACUGAGAGAGCUAUUUUCUUUCAGAAAUCAUGGAGAAGAAGUAAAGUGUUAAGUGAUGAGAGAAAAGGGUGGGGAAAGGAAUUAGAUAAUUACAAGUCAGUCUGAGAUUGAUAUCUGGAACAGAUCAACCAUAUACUGUAUUUAUCAGUAAAGACCUUAAAACCAGUGUGUUAAUUAACAGAAUUCAGCAAAAAAGUUUACUAACAUGUUUAGUAGAUUUUUGAGAAUGCUCUAAACAUGACAUAUCUUGAUUUCAGCAAACUAUUUUAUAAAGUAUGCCAGGAUAUUCUGAUUAACAAGUGGUUUAUUUAUGGAGUCUGAUAUGAGAUACAUAACUGGUUCAAAAAUCAUACAUCAAGAGUGUUCAUUGUUUCUCCUUAUUUCAAUACCAGAAUUUUUUAUAUGGACUCCCGCACUGUCCAGUUAGGAGUCUUUUCUUCUUCAUUAUUUUUAUUAAAAAUUGGAAAGCAGAGAUGGAAGGAAUACUUACCAAUUCAAAAUUGAGUGGGGUAGCUUACAGGAUUGUGAUCCAGAUUCAGUGGGGGGGGAGUUAAUUUUCCUAAAAUGAAAAGUAGAUUACUGUACAUCAUUAUUGAAUCAAGGAAUAGGUAUUUCUUUUUCCUAAAAGAGAAUUGCUUUUAGUAUCUUACACAGUGUGGGUGGUAGGAAAAAAAAUGUAAGAAAUAUGAACAUUACAAAUAGAAAUUGCACGUGAUAUUCAACAAUUGUCAGAUUCUUUUUUGAUGCUUUCUUGGCUUUAAAAUAAAAUAAUAAAGUUAAAUUAAAUUAAAUUAAUAACUUGGUAGAAGUUCCUGAAUCCCUAUGUGUUUCUGUAAUUAGCUUCAGUCCAGACUGCUGAGGAGAGAUGACAGGUGGGUGUGAUCAUCUUGCAUCUAUUAGCAACUCUCUUAAAAAGCAACUUCUUUGCUCAACUUUUGUGAUGGAAUUUAUGGAGUUCCAACAAAUAUGUUUCAUAUACUCUUAUCUUUCUAUCUCUUCAUUUCAGCACUGUACAAUACUAAUAUCUAAUACCUUGGAAGUCAAACCAUAAUCAAAAUUACCUUGAUAGAUUAAACAAAGAGGAUUAAAAAUUAUGCAGUUAAAUUUAACAAAGAUAAAUUCAACCUUCUUCACUUAAGAUGGAUACCUAAUUUGCCAAUAGUAUAUACAUAGUGGCAUAUGUAGUAUAUGUGUUACUCAGAACAGAUUAAGGCAUUGAGCAGAAUUUGUAGGAUGCAUGGUCAAGACUGGGCCAACCACCAUUCCUGACCUGCCCAGUUCCAUUCCUAUUACUGUGCUAUCAGAGAAAGUAUAGGAAAAAAUGGAUUUAUGUUAGCAAAGAAAGAAAAAUUGUCAGAAAAUGAUUUUUUUUUUUUUAAGGGGUAGCUUCAAAGCUCAUUUUUUUCUCCUUUGGUUCUAACUGAAGAUAUAACUACAAAUGGAGAUGUAUGUGUCAGUUGAGCAAAGGCAUUGGUUUGUUAAGCAAAUCAGGUAAGAAUGGAAUAUGAAGAAAUGUUUCUUUAUGAUGAAAGAUAGAGGAUUUUUUUUGUACAUGCGGAGCUGUAGUUUAAUAUAUUGGGGAAAGAGGAUUUAAAAUGCACAAAUACAUGUGCACAAGUUCAGGACAAGUCAGUGAUAGCAAUAAACACUGAAUAAUAUUAGCUUCCUUGAGUUCAGAAACUGCCUCCUUUUAUUAUAGUAAUUUAGAGAAAUCCUCCUAUGUUCGUCCCGUAGAUACUGGAGAAUGCCUAUGGUAAGGAACAAUCAUUUUUCUGUGCUAUUCCCAAAUUAUACAACACCUUCUUUCAGGGUGCUGCUGUCUGGCCAGUUGCCUUAUGGAACAGUUUUAUUGUUCAGCAGAGUUCAUUUUAUCUUCUAUACCUGCUUUACCAUAUUCUAUUUGCUGUAUUUUAUUUAUUUGAUAACUAUUUCAAACAGCAAAAUACUAAUUUACAGCAAACAAUUGUCUUUAUUUUGCCUUUGACUCUUCCUGUUAUACAAAGACUGUCAUUCAACCACUUUAGUUUUCUAUUUGAAAUUGCAACAUCUCUGGAAAUGAUGUUUUGAAUAUAAUAUUUUGGAGGAAAAACUAAAGAUAUAUAAAAAUACUUUCAAUAUUCAUUUUGGUACUGUAGUUUGCUAUCACUUUAAUGCAAGUAUUUACUUAAAUAUUUACAUAUAUUAUUAUAAAUAAGUUCUUUUAUUCAAACAAUAUGUUU